rnacentral:rRNA from 1 species
AUUGAACGCUGGCGGCAGGCCUAACACAUGCAAGUCGAACGAGUGGCGGAUGGGUGAGUAAUGUCUGGGAAACUGCCCGAUGGAGGGGGAUAACUACUGGAAACGGUAGCUAAUACCGCAUACCAUCGGAUGUGCCCAGAUGGGAUUAGCUAGUAGGUGGGGUAACGGCUCACCUAGGCGACGAUCCCUAGCUGGUCUGAGAGGAUGACCAGCCACGCUGGACCUGAGACACGGUCCAGAAUCCUACGGGAGGCAGAAGUGGGGAAUAUUGCACAAUGGGCGCAAGCCUGAUGCAGCAAUGCGGCGUGUAUGAAGAAGGCCUUCGGGUUGUAAAGUACUUUCAGCGAUGAGGCGUUACUCGCAGAAGAAGCGCCGGCUAACUCCGUGCCAGCAGCCGCGGUAAAUCC